rnacentral:lncRNA from 1 species
UGACUGGACUAGUGACCAGUAAAAAAAAAUUAAAUGAGUUAUUGCUGAACCACAGAUGAUGCUGUCACUUGGAUCAACAGUUGACAAUCAGAAUAACAGGUGAUAUAUUAUUAAAGGAAGAAAAAUCAAUUGGAUACCCUUCACCAAUAAGCCUUGUAGUAUUAAACAUAGCUUCCUGGUGUGCAGUGAGUUAAUUUUCCCAACAUAUAAAAGUGAGCCAGUUGGCUCAAAUAAUAUCUUGGUAAGAAAAAGAGGAAAAUAGGCAAGCAGAACAACAUGUAAUUCUAAAUAACUGAAACAUAGCUCUUUCAUAAGUCUUUUCCCUUCUGAGGCAAUCCAUGAAGACAGCUGCAGUUUCUACACGUCCCUUUCCCAGAAUAGCAGCAGGCUGUUAGCCUGUUGUACAAGCGGAUCCAUAUAUCAGUUACUGAAUGCUGUGAGAAUAGUUAGACUCAUUUCAGUCUGAUUUAUUUUAAAGCUUCUCAAGUUCCAGGAGUCUAAGUGGCAGCUGGAAUUUUGUGAGUAUGCCCUUAGUUAUUCAUAGUUCCUCAAAUGAUGACUAAGGUUUAGGAGAUUUCAGUUCUUUUCAGCUACAGCAUGUGAAUACUUUGUUGAAUAAUUAAUUUUUUCAGGGCAUUUAAUGUUUGUCGCACCAUGAUGUCUUUGUUCUCCACCUCUUGUAUUUUCUGGUGGGGAGUUGUGUUCUUUAAGACAAUGAGUCUGUCUGGAUCACAUUGAGUUGACAUGGAAUCCCUUGGCAGGAAGCUAAGAUCCUGCCUUCCAUUAACAGUUGUACCCGGGGUUGUGGUAAAGGUUUGAAUGUUUGAUUUGUGUCAUUUAUCACUGUAGAAACCCUGUGAUAUCACAGAAAGCACAGGUAUACAAAGUAGAAAGACUUGUUUGGGCAGGUCUGCUGGCCUCUGUUCAGUGGCUUUGGGUUGACAGAUCUGCCUGGGUUUAACCAAUUCCAUGUUAUAAAUCCUGUGCUUGGGCAGGCUGAGAUGGACUGAUAUACACAGAGGUUCUGUUUCUGAACUCUAUUUGCUGUCCUAUAGACACUUAUCUUGAAAUUAUAGAUACUAGUUAGAAAUCUACUUUGAGAGAAUCAGGCAACUUCCUGAUCGCUGCUGUGGUUUUUUUCCACCUUUUCUUUCAAAUGAAAUAUGAUACGUAGUUCAGUAUUUAAG